AGGAAAAAUUAAAAAGUGUUCCAACAAACAAAUCAGUCUCUCUUUCUCGGCCUCUUCUCACAACUCUCUUCUAAAAAAUUCACAACUCAUCUCUCAAAAAUUUCUUCACAGAAGCACCAAUUUCUACCCCAGUCAUAGCUCGCUCUCUCUCUGCCUCUCUCGGUCUCUCCUCACCGUCAGUAAAAGCUCACCGCCACUACCGUCAAUCGGCCCUUAGCGCCGUCCAGCCAGCGUACUCCGGCCAGGCAGCAGCCGUCUCACACAGUUAAGUACUAUCUCUCUCCCUUUCCACAUCCACAAUCUAAAUAUUUUAUUAAAAUUUUUCUAACAUGUUCGAUUCAAACAUUUUGGGCAAACAUUGGAACUUUAAGAAUUUAAAAUUGAAGAACAAACAAGAGGCAGCUCCUAAGCCUUAAAGAUCGAAGGCUUAGGAGGGAGUGUCAUUCAACAAGUUUCAGAAAUUUCUAAGAUAAAUUGUUCCAGAUUCACAGUGUACUAUAAGGUGUAUGUACGUGGGUAUGGAAUGCAGGGGAUUCAGAAAAAAUGGAUAUACCUUUGGAACGAAACAAACUUUGCACAAACAGAAGAAGAAGAAAAAUAACCGCAUGAAGUUGCGGUGUGGGAAUUAUACGAGAAGAAGGGAUUUUUAGUUGGAGAUUUUUAAGGAGGGUGGAGAUAUGGGAAAAACCAUGUAUUUUGAAAUUAGGAGUAGAAAUUUGAUUUGACUGUGGGUUUUUAAAUAUGGAUUGAUAUUGAUUUGACUGCGGGUUUUUAAA